UACGGAGGGUGCAAGCGUUAUCCGGAUUCACUGGGUUUAAAGGGUGCGUAGGUGGGUUGGUAAGUCAGUGGUGAAAUCUCCGAGCUUAACUUGGAAACUGCCAUUGAUACUAUCAGUCUUGAAUACCGUGGAGGUCAGCGGAAUGUGUCAUGUAGCGGUGAAAUGCUUAGAUAUGACAUAGAACACCAAUUGCGAAGGCAGCUGGCUACUCGGAUAUUGACACUGAGGCACGAAAGCGUGGGGAUCAAACAGG
rnacentral:rRNA from 1 species